rfam:Dipodomys ordii contig_57738, whole genome shotgun sequence.
GGUGGCUCAGUGGUAGAGUGCAUGCCUUGCAAGCAUGAGGCCCUGGGUUCCAUUCCCUAGCACCA